UCGGUUCCGGUUCACGCCGCUGCCUCCCAGGACGGGAGGGCGACCCGGGGCC
rnacentral:ncRNA from 1 species